GUUCUUAUAGUUGAGGUAUCAACGAUGGCUUUUCAGGGCACAAA
rnacentral:tRNA from 1 species